UACGUAGGGUGCAGGCGUUAAUCGGAAUUACUGGGCGUAAAGCGUGCGCAGGCGGUUAUGUAAGACAGUUGUGAAAUCCCCGGGCUCAACCUGGGAACUGCCUUUGUGACUGCAUAGCUAGAGUACGGUAGAGGGGGAUGGAAUUCCGCGUGUAGCAGUGAAAUGCGUAGAUAUGCGGAGGAACACCGAUGGCGAAGGCAAUCCCCUGGACCUGUACUGACGCUCAUGCACGAAAGCGUGGGGAGCAAACAGG
rnacentral:rRNA from 1 species